AACUGAUACUACCUGCGGGAACCUGCGGAAGGAUCAUUAAUGAAUAAACCUGGUUGGGUUGUUGCUGGUCUUUCGGGACAUGUGCACGCCUACCACUUUUAUUAACCACCUGUGCACCCUAUGUAGACUGAUGACAACAUAUCGAGGCAACUCGGAUUGAGGACUGCUGUGUGCCUGCAAAGGCCCAACUUUCCUUGAGUCUCAGUCUAUGUCUUAUAUAAACCCCUUAUGCAUGUAUCA
rnacentral:misc_RNA from 1 species